rnacentral:rRNA from 1 species
CAUUGGAACUGAGACACGGUCCAAACUCCUACGGGAGGCAGCAGUGAGGAAUAUUGGUCAAUGGACGAGAGUCUGAACCAGCCAAGUAGCGUGAAGGAUGACUGCCCUAUGGGUUGUAAACUUCUUUUAUAUGGGAAUAAAGUAUUCCACGUGUGGGAUUUUGUAUGUACCAUAUGAAUAAGGAUCGGCUAACUCCGUGCCAGCAGCCGCGGUAAUACGGAGGAUCCGAGCGUUAUCCGGAUUUAUUGGGUUUAAAGGGAGCGUAGGUGGAUUGUUAAGUCAGUUGUGAAAGUUUGCGGCUCAACCGUAAAAUUGCAGUUGAAACUGGCAGUCUUGAGUACAGUAGAGGUGGGCGGAAUUCGUGGUGUAGCGGUGAAAUGCUUAGAUAUCACGAAGAACUCCGAUUGCGAAGGCAGCUCACUAGACUGCAACUGACACUGAUGCUCGAAAGUGUGGGUAUCAAACAGGAUUAGAUACCCUGGUAGUCCACACAGUAAACGAAGAAUACUCGCUGUUUGCGAUAUACAGUAAGCGGCCAAGCGAAAGCAUUAAGUAUUCCACCUGGGGAGUACGCCGGCAACGGUGAAACUCAAAGGAAUAGACGGGGGCCCGCACAAGCGGAGGAACAUGUGGUUUAAUUCGAUGAUACGCGAGGAACCUUACCCGGGCUUAAAUUGCAAAUGAAUAAUCUGGAAACAGGUUAGCCGCAAGGCAUUUGUGAAGGUGCUGCAUGGUUGUCGUCAGCUCGUGCCGUGAGGUGUCGGCUUAAGUGCCAUAACGAGCGCAACCCUUAUCUUUAGUUACUAACAGGUCAUGCUGAGGACUCUAGAGAGACUGCCGUCGUAAGAUGUGAGGAAGGUGGGGAUGACGUCAAAUCAGCACGGCCCUUACGUCCGGGGCUACACACGUGUUAUAAUGGGGGGUACAGAAGGCAGCUACCUGGUGACAGGAUGCUAAUCCCAAAAACCUCUCUCAGUUCGGAUCGAAGUCUGCAACCCGACUUCGUGAAGCUGGAUUCGCUAGUAAUCGCGCAUCAGCCAUGGCGCGGUGAAUAAGAAGCCGCGCCUUGCACU